rnacentral:rRNA from 1 species
ACUCUGAAGAGAGUUCACAAGUGCGUGAAACUGUACAGUGCAAAGCGAAUGACUGAACACUGCGAGAUGCUAUGCUAUUGUGCAUCAUGUGCGGGAUUACGAUCGUACAUUUAGUCGUGGCAUGUCCCGUGCAAUGGUGUUUCAUUAAAUGUGUCUCGAGUUGUCUGCGGAGCCGGCCAAAUUAAUUAUUGCAAUCGAACGAGAACCAUCUUGUAUGGUUCCACGUAAUAGCAGCAGUUAAAMCAGAUAUGUGUCCCACCUUGUCUGAUACUUCGGCCGGCUCCGCCCUGAGCAUCACCUCGUUUCGUUCCGCCCGUACUCGAUAUACACUGUGCCGCAGUGUGUGCUGGCGCUUGUUGUUCAAGUGCUUGCGUUAGCGGGGUGAAUUUAGUAGGCAGCUUGCGGCUGUUCAGCAUUCGAACCGUCUUGAAACACGGACC